AUCCGGAGGGUGCAAGCGUUACUCGGAAUCACUGGGCGUAAAGCGCGCGCAGGCGGUCUUUUAAGUUGGAUGUGAAAGCCUACGGCUCAACCGUAGAACUGCAUCCAAAACUAUUAGACUAGAGUGUGGGAGAGGAAGAUGGAAUUAGUUGUGUAGGGGUAAAAUCCGUAGAGAUAACUAGGAAUACCAAAAGCGAAGGCAAUCUUCUGGAACACUACUGACGCUGAGGCGCGAAAGCGUGGGGAGCAAACAGGAUUAGAUACCCGAGUAGUCC
rnacentral:rRNA from 1 species